rnacentral:rRNA from 1 species
CAUCCCAGUUCGGAUCGCAGGCUGCAACCCGCCUGCGUGAAGUUGGAAUCGCUAGUAAUCGCGGAUCAGCAUGCCGCGGUGAAUACGUUCCCGGGCCUUGUACACACCGCCCGUCACACCAUGAGAGUCGGGAACACCCGAAGUCCGUAGCCUAACCGCAAGGGGGGCGCGGCCGAAGGUGGGUUCGAUAAUUGGGGUGAAGUCGUAACAAGGUAAC